rnacentral:rRNA from 1 species
ACACCGCCCGUCAAGCCAUGGAAGCCGGGGUACCUCGAAGACGGUGACUUUACAGGGAGCUGUCUAAGGUAAACUGGUGACUGGGGCU